rnacentral:tRNA from 1 species
GCCGAAGUGGCGGAACAGGCAGACGCGACGGUCUCAAAAACCGUUGAGGCUUCAACCUCAUGUGGGUUCAAGUCCCACCUUCGGCA